GGGAAAUGGAGUAGGCAGACUUUUGUCUGAUUGUAUGAGGGUGGGAAGAAAUGUUAUCAGCUGAGAAGAUGAAAGAAAUGGAUGAUUAAGGUACUUUCCAGACCUUAGCAAGGAAGAUGACAGCUCUGAUGAGAAAUCUCCCUAUGCCGAGGCUUCAGAAGCAGCCCUUCCAGCAGAGAAAGUAUUCAUUAGAAAAAGAAGGCAAAGUGAUGGAUGGAGUCAGGGUCCAGCCAGGGUUUGGGAAGAGGCUGUACAGGGUAUCGAUCGCAGUUCUCAAGAGAAGAGAGACAGAUCAGCAGAGAUGCUGCAAACACCAACUGCCUCGGGGCCACCCCAGUUCCGGGGCUGGCUCUGGCUCGGAGACAGCCUUCUGUCAUCCUGUCAUCGUGACAGGUGAUCUUGGUCAGCUUGGCCAGGUUCUCUCAAAUCCAGACAACGCCACGCCAACCCUCUGCUCUGCAUCAGGGCAGCGUGGGUUUCCCACAGAGGAGGCACGACACGGGAGCCGAGGCCCUCCCCCACACCACCCCUGUGUCCUUCAGCACCUCCUACAGACUCCCUCCCCUUGCCCUUCUGAUUCACAGCGCCCACCUCCCUGCACCUACCCUAUUCGAUCUACAGGGGAGCGGAGUCGCUUCGUGGCCGCCAGCCCGGGAAGGGGCGCCAGCCAGCUGGCGGACGCACGGCUUAGAGGGGCGUCUGGGCAGAGAGGUUUGGGGCUGGGGAGAGAUGCAGUGAGCUUGGGAGAGUGGAGUGGUAGCACAAAUAAUGUGUGCAUAAGGGUUAGAAGAGGUCCUGGAGCUUUGGUCUUCUCUUUUCCCCCUGCAAUUGUGCAUUUCGGAGGGACUCUUGCUGCAAGCUCGGUAGGCAAUAGCAUCCGCUCCAAGACUACACUUCCCAGAAGGCUGUGCGGGGGGGCGGGGCGCGGAGAACAGGCAACCUGUGUUGCGCUUGCGCAAAGACUGCGCUGGAAAGGCAGGUGGGGAGGAGGGGAGGCGUGCCCGCGACGGGGCGAGGGGGAGGGGGCCGCGCGGCGGCGGCGCCAGGGCGGGCGCGCGUCCGCGGCGGUGAUGGCGGUGCGUGAACGCGCGGCGGCAGCAAUGGCCGCUCUGGAGCGGCGGGUGCCGAGUCUCGAUGACUUCGCGGGACAGAGCUGGAGCUCGUGGGUGGAGCGGGCCGACCUGCCCGCGGCUGACGGGGCUGAGCUGGAGGAGAGUAGCAAAAACAUGAAGAAGUUGGAUGCCAUGACCCUCAUUAAAGAAGACAUGUCCAUCUUCGGGCACUGCCCUGCCCAUGAUGACUUCUACUUGGUUGUGUGUAACCACUGCAGCCAAGUGGUGAAGCCUCAAGCUUUCCAGAAGCACUGCGAAAGAAGACAUGGGCCCCUCAGCAAGCUUUAUGCCCGGGCCCCACCCCCACCUCCAGCCCCUGCCAGCUCUCAGAAAUGCCAUGUAGUGAAUGGGCAGGGCCCAGCUUGUAGGGCCCCAGGUUCCACGAAAACCUCCUCCAGGGAGAAGGGCCAGGGGUCCCGGAGCCGUGGCCACCAGCCUCCUGAGAAGACCCAGAAAGACAACCUCUGCCUUUUCGUGCCUGUGGUGAAUCUGGAGAAGAUGUCCAGUCUCCCGAAGCCUGAUGGACAUGGAAUCAGGGUGGCCCCACCCUCUGCUUUUCUCAGUCAGCCAGGGGGCCUCACCAGGGACUCCCCUGGAAAACCUCCCAUGGCUCCCCCUUCUAAAGAACCUCCUGGCAGAGAGAACAUCGAGAUCAUCCCCAGUGAGGGGUCCAGUCACUGGGCUGAAGGCAGCCCUCCUGAAAAGGAGCCCAGUGGGACCAGGCUGCCCGCUAAAACCCACCGGAAGAUGGCUCGGAAGGAGUGCGACCUCAACAGGCAGUGUGGGGUAAUAAAUCCAGAGACCAAAAAGAUCUGUACCCGCCUGUUGACCUGCAAGAUCCACUCAGUACACCAGCGCCGGGAAGUCCAGGGCCGGGCCAAGGACUUUGACGUGCUGGUGGCAGAGCUGAAGGCCAACUCCCGCAAAGGGGAGUCUCCCAAGGAGAAGAGCCCAGGGCGCAAGGAGCAAGUUCUCGAGCGCCCCUCCCAGGAGCUCCCCUCCUCAGUCCAGGUUGUAGCAGCGGUGGCUGCUCCCAGCAGCACCUUCUCUGUUCGUGCCAAGCAGACCUACCCAUACUGUGCACUGCCCAGGCAUACCACAGCACCCCAGCCUCUCGGCAGUGUGCCAGAUCCAACACUCAGGAUAUGAACAUUUUCCCAGCUGCCUCCAACAGACCGAAACUUGUCACUGGGGAGCUGAAAGGGUCACACUCCUGGGCAAGGCAGCCCUAUGUGUAUUCACUCACUGGCCCCUUCGCGUGCAGAGGCUAUGCCGGACCCCAGGGAGAGCCUGACUUGCUGAAGGAGACACACAUGCAUCUCUGCCUGUCACACAAGGGGCAGACACGAAACACAGGCUCAGCUCACAGACAGGCUCACAGGAAUAUGUGAUGCAAGAAGGGGGUUGAGCGAGUUGACUGGGCUGACCAGAGCUGGGUACAGUUUUAACUGUGAAGAUUUUCUGGAGGAGGCGGAUCUGCAGCAGAUUAUCCCCUGAGGAGGAAGGGGCUGGGAGGUGAAGGGGCUGGGGAGAGAAUCCCUUGGGAGCAGUCUCUCUGUCUCUUACUCUGUGAGCUAUGUCGUUCCCUCCUGUCCUUCCCUUCCCUCUGUCCUCUUCUGAUUGCCCUGCAGGGUGUCUGCCCUGGUGCCCUGCUCUUUGAGCUCAGCAGGUUCAAGGAUGCCCCUACUCUGACCCCACAACAGUCACAUUCCCCUGGCAUCCCUUUUGGCCCUUCCAGGUCCCGGGCCUCCUCCGAGAGUGAAUUGGAUGAUGAAGGCCCCUGUGGUGGUGAUGGGGACCCAGGCCUGUUCCCCUUCCCCAUGCCCCGGGGUGGGACCCAGGCCUCCAGCGAAGAGAGUGAGGAGGAGGGGACAUCUGACGACCUCCACCCACCCCCUGACUGCCAUUAUGCAACCCGGCCCCCACGGCCACAGGCGUUCUGCACCUUUGGGAGCCGGCUGGUGAGCCCAGGAUGCUAUGUGUUUAGCCGCCGGCUGGACCGGUUCUGCUCAGCACUCAGCUCCAUGCUGGAACGGCACCUCAGCUCACACAUGUGGAAGAAGAUCCCACCGGCAGCUGAACCUCCAGCUCACCUUGUCAACUCCCCGUUAUCUGCUCCCCUGAGCCCAUCCUCUACAGGCACCUGCCCCCGCCUUCCAGGUCCACCCCCGAGACCUGCCUGCCCAGCCUCCAUGCCCCCCACCAAGGACAACCUUGUCCCCAGCUACCCUGCAGGCUCCCCCAGCGUGGCGGCUGCCUGUAGCCAGGCAGAGUGCAUGGGCGGGAGCCAGGCUAUCACCUCACCACUGCCUGCCAACACGCCAUCCCCGUCCUUCAGCAAGCUGCCGCCUUCCAAGGCCAGCAAGUCAUCCAAAGGCAAGGACGGGGUGGAGGUGGAGGCCCCUUCUCGAAAGCGGAAGUUAUCCCCUGGCCCCACCACUCUUAAACGGACCUGCAUCCUGGAGCCCACUGGAAAAGGGAAACCCUCUGGCUGUAGGGGCCUCUCGGCCAAAACUAAAACAGCCCUGAGCAUGGGGCUUAAUGGGACAAUGGGGCCAAGAGUGAAGCGGGCAGGGCCCCUGGACUGUCGUGGCUCCCCUCAUCAGCUCCCCACACCAGUCAAGGCUUCUCAGCUGGAGAACCAGGGAGCAGCCGGACACCCAGCCAAGGCCCUGCCAACCAACUGCCUCUCUGAGGAGGAGGUGGCCAAGAAGCGGAAAAACCUGGCCACUUAUUGCCGGCCAGUGAAGGCCAAGCACUGUCAGGCUGGUGCCCCUGCUGAUGUGGCCUGCUCUGUGCGCCGCAAGAAGCCAGGCCCGGCCCUGGCCUUUGAGGAGAAGUGCUCUACACUGAAGGUACUGGAGCUACCUCUGUUCCCUGAAGGAAAGGGAGUUUGAGUCCCUGGGUCACAGCCUAACAUGCCGAGCAGCAAGUCAAAAGCCCAUUAACGAGAAAGUGCCUGCCCACUGCAACGGAGCCGCCAGCACCUCCUCCCCUCCAGAUCCGGGCCCCAGGCUGCUGCCGCUUUUUAUAACUUUAUAUUAUUUUUUUUAAGAAAAAAAGCUCUUUAAAAUACCUCAA